rnacentral:lncRNA from 1 species
CUCUGAGAGCUGAGCCGGAUCUCAUAAAGUCACCACGUGGACUAGGGUGAGGUCUUUCUCUCCUGGACCGCAGAGCUGAUCAGAGCUCACUGACUGACUGACAACAUGGACGAAAGUUAUUUUAACCAUACGCCAUGGCAGCACAGACGGAGGUCUGUUAAGUUAACAGACACAGGCUUCAUAGCCUCUAACCUGUUUAUGACACCGACUGCUUCACACUGACAUCAGCCGUCUGUCCUUCGUCUGGACUUGAUGAAGAUGAUGAUGAUGCAGAGCUUGGAAUGCUCAGGUGACUUUUUGAGGCAAAUCUUGACUAAACAGAGCCGUGUGACUUCCUGCAGCUUAUCAUCAGAAAAGUCCGGCCUGAAUGACGCUACAGGACCAGAGUCCAAAUUAAAAACUCUUGUCAUCAGCUGUUGACUGAAAACGCCAAGACUUUAAACAUCACCACUACGGAAUGUAAAGUUACAUUCCUUUUGAAUUAACAUUUUUGUCUGUUUGAGGAGAAAAUAAAAGAAUAAAAAGAACACA